CGGGUGAGUAACACGUGGAUAACCUACCUAUAAGACUGGGAUAACUUCGGGAAACCGGAGCUAAUACCGGAUAAUAUAUUGAACCGCAUGGUUCAAUAGUGAAAGACGGUUUUGCUGUCACUUAUAGAUGGAUCCGCGCCGCAUUAGCUAGUUGGUAAGGUAACGGCNUUACCAAGGCAACGAUGCGUAGCCGACCUGAGAGGGUGAUCGGCCACACUGGAACUGAGACACGGUCCAGACUCCUACGGGAGGCAGCAGCG
rnacentral:rRNA from 1 species